GCAGUCGAACGGCAGCACAGUAAGAGCUUGCUCUUAUGGGUGGCGAGUGGCGGACGGGUGAGGAAUACAUCGGAAUCUACCUUUUCGUGGGGGAUAACGUAGGGAAACUUACGCUAAUACCGCAUACGACCUUCGGGUGAAAGCAGGGGACCUUCGGGCCUUGCGCGGAUAGAUGAGCCGAUGUCGGAUUAGCUAGUUGGCGGGGUAAAGGCCCACCAAGGCGACGAUCCGUAGCUGGUCUGAGAGGAUGAUCAGCCACACUGGAACUGAGACACGGUCCAGACUCCUACGGGAGGCAGCAGUGGGGAAUAUUGGACAAUGGGCGCAAGCCUGAUCCAGCCAUACCGCGUGGGUGAAGAAGGCCUUCGGGUUGUAAAGCCCUUUUGUUGGGAAAGAAAAGCAGUCGAUUAAUACUCGGUUGUUCUGACGGUACCCAAAGAAUAAGCACCGGCUAACUUCGUGCCAGCAGCCGCGGUAAUACGAAGGGUGCAAGCGUUACUCGGAAUUACUGGGCGUAAAGCGUGCGUAGGUGGUUGUUUAAGUCUGUUGUGAAAGCCCUGGGCUCAACCUGGGAAUUGCAGUGGAUACUGGGCGACUAGAGUGUGGUAGAGGGUAGUGGAAUUCCCGGUGUAGCAGUGAAAUGCGUAGAGAUCGGGAGGAACAUCCAUGGCGAAGGCAGCUACCUGGACCAACACUGACACUGAGGCACGA
rnacentral:rRNA from 1 species